rnacentral:rRNA from 1 species
GACCUCGGAUCAGGUAGGAAUACCCGCUGAACUUAAGCAUAUCAAUAAACGGGGGGAGGAA